CCUACGGGGGGCAGCAGUGGGGAAUAUUGCACAAUGGGGGAAACCCUGAUGCAGCGACGCCGCGUGAGUGAAGAAGUAUUUCGGUACGUAAAGCUCUAUCAGCAGGGAAGAAAAAAAGUCUUUUGGACUUUGGACGGUACCUGACCAAGAAGCCCCGGCUAACUACGUGCCAGCAGCCGCGGUAAUACGUCGGGGGCAAGCGUUAUCCGGAUUUACGGGGCGUAAAGGGAGCGUAGACGGCAACGCAAGUCUGGAGUGAAAGGCCGGGGCCCAACCCCGGAACUGCUUUGGGAACUGUGCAGCGGGAGUGCAGGAGAGGUAGGCGGAAUUCCUGGUGUAGCGGUGAAAUGCGUAGAUAUUAGGAGGAACACCGGUGGCGAAGGCGGCGUGCUGGACUGUAACUGACGUUGAGGCUCGAAAGCGUGGGGAGCAAACAGGAUUAGAUACCCUAGUAGUC
rnacentral:rRNA from 1 species